rnacentral:rRNA from 1 species
CCUACGGGGGGCAACAGUGAGGAAUAUUGGUCAAUGGACGAGAGUCUGAACCAGCCAAGUAGCGUGAAGGAUGACUGCCCUAUGGGUUGUAAACUUCUUUUAUAUGGGAAUAAAAUGUUCCACGUGUGGGAUUUUGUAUGUACCAUAUGAAUAAGGAUCGGCUAACUCCGUGCCAGCAGCCGCGGUAAUACGGAGGAUCCGAGCGUUAUCCGGAUUUAUUGGGUUUAAAGGGAGCGUAGGUGGAUUGUUAAGUCAGUUGUGAAAGUUUGCGGCUCAACCGUAAAAUUGCAGUUGAAACUGGCAGUCUUGAGUACAGUAGAGGUGGGCGGAAUUCGUGGUGUAGCGGUGAAAUGCUUAGAUAUCACGAAGAACUCCGAUUGCGAAGGCAGUUCACUGGACUGCAACUGACACUGAGGCUCGAAAGUGUGGGUAUCAAACAGGAUUAGAUACCCCUGUAGUC